UACAGAGGGGGCUAGCGUUGUUCGGAAUUACUGGGCGUAAAGGGCGCGUAGGUGGCCUGUUAAGUCGAACGUGAAAUCCCCGGGCUCAACCCGGGAACUGCGUCCGAGACUGGCAGGCUCGAAUCCGGGAGAGGGAUGUGGAAUUCCAGGUGUAGCGAUGAAAUGCGCAGAUAUCAGGAGGAACACCCGUGGCGAAGGCGGCUCUCUGGUACGUGACUGACGCUGAGACGCGAAAGCGUGGGGAGCGAACAGG
rnacentral:rRNA from 1 species